AUGUAGGCCACACCAUGCCUCAUCCACCAGUUAUCCUUAUCUUACGAUCGACACUCUUCUCCAUCUUCCUCUAAUACUACUUCGGUCACCUUCUACGGCCACCCCAUAUCUCUCCAUCUCUCUUGCCCUCUGUAUCGGUGUUACACUAGUAAAACCUAAACCCACAUUUGAUUUCUCAAUAGUGUAUAACCCUCACCUAGAACAAACCCUAAAUCACUUAGUUAAAUCGAUUUCUUUUUUAAUCACUUAGAAAUCGCCAUCAUGAUGACAACAUGCUCGAUUUCUAGGUUAGAACUCCUCAAGCUCCCUAAUCUUUCAUUUCCUUUGAUUGAUUUGUGGAUUUUAAAUUUACAGAUGCUCAAUCGUUGUCACAGUGAAUAGCAAAUCUUAGGGUUAUGGUGUUGGAUAUCUGGUGAGAGGGAGGGGGGAUGAAGGAUGGAUAACGGGGGUGGGACAAGAGAUGAUGGCGUUAGUGGUGAUGAAGGUGUCAUCUCCGGUAAGAAUCGUAAGUGAAUCGGAAAUUGAGUAACCAUUAACCAAUAAUGAGAUGAUAUCUCUUCUAGAAUGAACAAAUGAUGAAACCCAUACUCAGAUUCAAACCUAUUCCAGAAAAUUGUGUCUGAAGUUCUUGUAACAUGAUGAACCAGAAUUGAGUAACCAUUGACCAACAAUGGAGACGGUGUCUCUUCUAAAUGCACAUAAGAGAAGUCAACCAUGUCAUUAUCUCCCCUUCUUCGACCAGUGGUUUUAAUGAAGGAAGAAGGAGGAUUUUUUUAGAAACACACUUAAACACCAUCAACUCCACCGGAUCAUCAAAUUUGCAUUUAUUCCGUUCACCGGAGAAGAUAACAACAACCAGAAGAAGGUAUGGUCCAAUUCACCUACGAUGUGGUUAUUCUCUUCAUUGGAGAGGUUAACAACAAAAAGAAGAAAUGUUAUGCUUUGUGAGUUGUCCGUUCUGAAACUCUGACGUUGCUUUGAUUCCAAACCCAUAUCAGAAACUCCAAUCUGAAACUCAUAUCUGAAAUUAAGGAGAGUAUUAUCCUCAAUGUUUUAAAACCUUGGUUUUUAGUCGAUCCGGUGUAAUGACCGGUUCACGGGUCGACCGGUUGAACCGCUGGUCAACCUAGUUUAUGAUCUUUUUCUAUUUCUAUAUAUUUUUACUUUCAUGCAUAAUAUAUAAUCAUAUAAAACCAAUAAUUUGAUGUCCACAAAGUUUAAACAUUGAAAAACAUUUA
rnacentral:lncRNA from 1 species